CGUAAGGUGACCUGCGGAAGGAUCAUUG
rnacentral:rRNA from 1 species